GACGAACGCUGGCGGCGUGCUUAACACAUGCAAGUCGAACGAAGUGGCGAACGGGUGAGUAAUACUUGGGUAACCUUCCCUCCUUUUUGGGAUAAGCCUUUGAAACGGGGUCUAAUACCGAAUCACGGGGGCUGGGCUCGCGGCCUAUCGGCUUGUUGGUGGGGGGAUGGCCUACCAAGGCGGUGACGGGUCGCCGGCCUGAGAGGGGGGACGGGCACAUUGGGACUGAGAAGCGGCCCAGGAUACGACGGGAGGCGGCAGUGGGGGAUAUUGCAGAAAGGGCGAAAGAGUGAUGCGGCGACGCCGCGGGGGGGAUGAAGGCUUUCGGGUUGUAAACCUCUGUCGGUAUCGAACGGGUAGGUGGAGAAGAAGCGCCGGCUAACUACGUGCCAGCAGCCGCGGUAAUAC
rnacentral:rRNA from 1 species